AUUCGUCCACUGCUGAACAUAGGCCUCUACAAAUGCACGCCACUGUGAUCUUUCUUCGGCAACUCGCAUCCAGCUCCUGCCAGCCGUCUUGCACAAAUCGUCACUCCACCGUGCCUGAGGACGUCCUACACUACGUUUGCCGAGACGCGGUCUCCACUCUAGAACACGUUUUCCCCAACGGUUAUCGGUUCUACGACAAAUAUGGCCGGCCCACUGCCCCUUCAGCUUACUAAUCCGGUGCGCUAUGUCGAUGACUUUGGUUCUCUGACGGAUCACAUCAUUUCUGAUGCGAUCCGUCAGAGAUAAUCCGAGCAUAGCCCUUUCCAUAGCACACUGAGCGACUUUAACCCGGUGGACCAGCUUUGUCGUGAGUGUCCACGUUUCGGCUCCGUAUGUCAUGACGGGUAAGACGCACUGAUUGAAGACUUUCGUUUUAAGGCACUGUGGGAUCGACGAUAUGAAGAUUCGUCGUAACUUCCCAAAUGCUGCCCAACUUAGCUGAAUACUGCUAUUCAACUCGUCCACAAAGUUGUUUCUACCUAAUCGCAAUGUCUGCCCGAGGUAGACAUAUUUUUGAAAAACUUCGAGGACGGUACCGUGUAUCGCAAUCGGUUCCGGUAGAACAUGUUCAUUGAACAUGACCUUGGUUUUAUCCAAGUUCAUCCGUAGGCCGAAGCGCAUAGAAGAAUCAGUCAGCUCAUUCAGCAUUUGUUGUAGGUCCUGCAGCGUUUCUGCCAUGAUGACGAUGUCGUCUGCGAAUUUCAAGCGAGAGACGUACUCGCCAUUGAUAUUGAUGCCACGUCCUUUCCAGUUCCGCAUCUUGAACAUGUCCUCCAUGUAUUAGUGAACAAUUUGGGGGAAAUAACGUCCUCUUGUCUCACUCCUCGAUGCAAUGGUAUGGGAUUUGUUUGCUAAUUCUGUACUUGGACGUUAAUGUAGCUCUAGGAUCCUCAUUUUCGGGAUCAGAUCUAAAUGCAUGCGAUGCGUAUAACUGGCCGUAAAAGUCCUCUACUUCCGAAAGAACUGCCGGCUUGGAAGAAACGACUUCUCCACUUGCUGUGGUCAACUUCGUUAGGUGGCUCCUUCCAAGAGAUUGUACGAACACCUUAGACCCCCGAUUCUGCUCGAUGGCGCUUUCAAUCAGUAUUGGAGCACCAGAGGUCGUGUCGUACGCGGUUGAUGAUCUCUUGGUUUAGUUGCCGUUACUCUGACGAAGUGACAGGUGGGUUUUCACGUCGUUUCUUCAUUAGCCCUAAAGUCUCUUCCGUAAGUUUGGACUUUCUGCCCUUACGCUGCAUGCUACAAAAUCUCGUGCCUUCUUCCCUGAGAAUUCUACCUACAUUUUCGAGGUUCUGGUUUACGUCUGUUGUGGUUUUCACGGCAGCGAAUCGGUUCUCCAGGUUUGACUGGAACGCUUCAGAUCCCGCAAUGGUUUGAAGCGGGGUUGGUCGGAGUGUAGACUUCAUCAGACGGACGCGCUCGGCCUUAAAAUUGAUAUUCAGAGAGCCUCGGACAACUCGGUGAUCACUACCGGUAUUGAACCUGUUGAGCACUGAGACGUCUCUGAAUAUGUGCCUUUUGUCCGUCAUGAUGACAUCGAUCUCAUUUUUGGUCAUAGUGUCGGGGCUUUGCCACGAGUUCAUCAAGAAGAGCCCCUCCCGUUCGAGGAAGUUGACAAGCAUUUGCCCCCUAUGAUUUCUGCUUCCAAAUCCAUGGGGUCCUAAUACCGAUUCGCUACAAUUUUGUACUCCCACUUUAGCGUUGAAGUCCCCCAUGACAACGUUGUAGUGGGUCUUCGUGGUGAAGUGGACCCUCCACUCCACCACCUCGAUAUAUCAUCGAACAUUUCCUCCACUUCAUCGUCCGAGUGUGUCGAGGUCGGUGCGUACGCUUGCACCACCUUAAGGUUGUACCUCUCGGUGAGCUUUACAAUGAGGUACGCUACCCUGUUCGACACACUGGAGAUUUCCACAAUGUUGUCAGCUAGGGACUUAUUAGGUGGCCCGAUUCGAGGGUUACGGUGUCCUCUCCCUCUCUACGGACUUCACAUAACCCUAAUAUGUGCCACCUAAUUUUCCCAAGUUCCACCUCGAGUUGCGCUAGAUGCGAGUCAAGCCGUAGCGUGCGUCCGUUGUACGUCGCCAGGGUCAGUCGGUUGUGGUGGCUAGAUACGCCUUUUUUUUAUGGUUAUACCGCCAUCAGUCGGUCGCCAGAGCCUUGUUUGCUGGUCGGCAGGAUGCACCACGGGCAGGUGAGGUUGGCUUGGGGCGCUAAGGUGUCGUUUGCGCCCCCUUACAUCCCAUUUAUUUAUUAUAUUUAUAAAUUUACUUGCUGCUAAUGUAAUGUAUGUAAUGUAAUCUUGUUUGUACUAGAGACGAACCACGUGCACCAUUCCAGUGAAAAUUUUACGUUUGUUCAAUAAAUAAUAAAGCAUUAACAUACAGCCUCGCAUUCGAGGUGUGCAAUACCAAAAAUAUUGCUACAAUAGUCUUGUGGCCUCAAUUUUUUAUUGAUUACUUAAACAAAA